CACGUAGGGCGCAAGCGUUGUCCGGAAUUAUUGGGCGUAAAGAGCUCGUAGGCGGUCUGUCGCGUCGGCUGUGAAAACUCGGGGCUCAACCCCGAGCCUGCAGUCGAUACGGGCAGACUAGAGUGCUGUAGGGGAGACUGGAAUUCCUGGUGUAGCGGUGAAAUGCGCAGAUAUCAGGAGGAACACCGGUGGCGAAGGCGGGUCUCUGGGCAGUUCCUGACGCUGAGGCACGAAGGCCAGGGGAGCAAACGGG
rnacentral:rRNA from 1 species